UCCAGACUCCUACGGGAGGCAGCAGUGGGGAAUAUUGCACAAUGGGGGAAACCCUGAUGCAGCAACGCCGCGUGAAGGAAGACGGUUUUCGGAUUGUAAACUUCUGUUCUUAGUGAAGAAGAAUGACGGUAGCUAAGGAGCAAGCCACGGCUAACUACGUGCCAGCAGCCGCGGUAAUACGUAGGUGGCAAGCGUUGUCCGGAAUUACUGGGUGUAAAGGGAGCGCAGGCGGGAAGCCAAGUCAGCUGUGAAAACUACGGGCUUAACUUGUAGACUGCAGUUGAAACUGGUUUUCUUGAGUGAAGUAGAGGUUGGCGGAAUUCCUAGUGUAGCGGUGGAAUGCGUAGAUAUUAGGAGGAACAUCAGUGGCGAAGGCGACUUUCUGGACUGUAACUGACGCUGAGGCACGAAAGUGUGGGGAGCAAACAGGAUAAGAUACCCUUGUAU
rnacentral:rRNA from 1 species